rnacentral:rRNA from 2 species
UACGUAGGGGGCUAGCGUUAUCCGGAAUUACUGGGCGUAAAGGGUGCGUAGGUGGUUUCUUAAGUCAGAGGUGAAAGGCUACGGCUCAACCGUAGUAAGCCUUUGAAACUGGGGAACUUGAGUGCAGGAGAGGAGAGUGGAAUUCCUAGUGUAGCGGUGAAAUGCGUAGAUAUUAGGAGGAACACCAGUUGCGAAGGCGUCUCUCUGGACUGUAACUGACACUGAGGCACGAAAGCGUGGGGAGCAAACAGG